CACGGUUGCGCGGUGGCGCGAUGCAAAACGGCGGCGGCGGCUGGAGCUUGCAGGGGCCGGAUCCGUGCGCGGUGGGGGCUGGGGAUGUGGAUCCGAAGGCGGGCGGCGUGGGGGGGAUCGCCGGUGACAACGAGGAAGGCCGGAGCGCGGCUUCCCUUGUGGGUUCAUGGCAUCCACAGCUAUUGGGUAGAGAGGAGACAAGGAGGCGAGGGAGAGAAGAAGGGACAAAGGAAGAGCGGUGCGGUGACCUAGGCAGGAGCUCGCUGGAGCCGGGCGAUGGCGGACGGGCGCGGGAGACGGAGAGAUCCCGUGUGGCGGCGCGAAGUCCUUGCUGGUGGCGUCGACGGCUGGGCGUGCGACAUCACGGAGCCCUCCCGUUGCUACGGCGUCCGGUGGAGUGCCCUGAGGGCGCGGAUGCUGCUGCUGCACCAGCACCACCAGCCCAAGGUCAGCCUCCUCCACCUCGUUCUGUAGCGCAAUUCCCGUCUCGCACCAUGCUUCCUUACUUCUGCCCCGUUGGAUUGGAGAGCGUGUGCUCUCAGCUCUGCUGGGCCGGCUGUGCUCUGUUGCGUGCGAGCAAGGGAGAAGAGCGAGCUUGCUGAUUCUUCUUACCUGCAGCUCCAACACAAAAGCCAGCCAAUCGACUCUUGAUAGCAGAACACAAACAAUACAAGUAAACAGAAUUCUAAGACAGCCAAGGUGGAUAUGAUAGCAGCGGAAGUAAUUGCUAAUUUAAGUGUAAGAACAUUGUGUGUUAUUCUAUCUUGGUCUUGCUUUUCUUCUUGGAUAACUUCUCUAAUCUCCCAAUAGAUUUCUUGGGUUGGCGUGGUUGUUAGUAUUAGUUAAUACAAACCCUGGCUAUAUAUGAAUUUUGUUACUUGAAAUGUUCAAUACAAGUGUUGAUUUGAAAAAAUAAAAUUGUGUGUAAGUAAUCAUGUGACCAUAUUGGAUGAAGGUGACCCAUAAAUUCAUUCAGUUAAUUGAAUUCUUUUUGCCUUCUACUCAAGAUAGGUACCUAGGCUCUAAUAAUUUCAGUGGCAACUACAUCCGAACUUUGUCACAUCUUUCUACUUAAAAAUUGUGAUUAUAUCAUUUGUCAUCUGAAAACCAGACUCAUGUGUACAUUAUGGGACAUAAUGUCCAGGAAAUAAUCACCAGGUACAGACAUCACUCUUGACCUACAUUGUACAACAUUGCAUAAUUUUCUGUUUUUCUUGAGGUAUCGCUCAGUAUUUUUUAUCGCAAACAUAGAUAGAACAAAGGCCACAAGAGUUGAUUUGGUACACCUUGCUGCAUGCGCUCUCACUUGAUUAAGAUAUUCAAAGUGUGAGCUUUGGAAAUUUCCAAAAAUAAGUCAGAUUCUCAUUAUUAACCUAUGUGCACAUGCCAAUAUUUCUGACUCUGACAUAUUGUGUUUGAUAAUAAUUUGAUGAACCACCAUGUCGCCCUUCCGCCUGGUUCCAUGGGAAAGUAAUUUACAAAGCUCUAGUUGGUCAAUACAGCCUACAUGUUUUUUUUGAAUAGGCAGCCUACAGGUUGACUUUUUUUUUUUAGUUCCAUGUUUUCUAGCAUUGCUUAACUUUAUUUGAAAAAGUGUUGUAGUUAUGUAUGCAGGAUACAGUACUAGAGGUGUAUGCAGGAUAUAGUACUGGAGUUGGAGUUUCAGGGCAUCCAAAAAGAAUUUACUAUGCUUCAACCCAUGUUUUCUACCAUUGUUUACCUUUAAUUGAAAAAAAUUAUUGUUGUUAUGUAUGCAGGAUAAAGAGUACUAGAGUUGGAAUUUCAGGGCAUCCACAAAGAAUUUACUAUGCUUCAGGCAAGAAAAGUUAAUUUGUUUGACCUUUGUAAGGACUACAUUACUAGCUUAAUGCAUGGAACUUAUUGAGCUGCAGACAUGGCAUGUGCGCACAUAGAGACCUGCUGCAUCAAAGCUCGGUGCGGAUACACCUCUUCUUAUAGGAGAGGUUGUGUACAACUUAUGUUGAGCUUAAAUUUCCAUAAUAAAACGUGUGUUUUUAUUUAUCAUGGUUUCUCCUCCUACAAAACCAAACAUUUUCAGAUGUUGUUUUUUCAUUUCCUUCCGACGCUAUUAAAUCUCAUUCUUACCUAUGUUGAAAUGGUUCCAGUGUGUGUGUGAUGCAUUGCUUUCCUUAGUUUUCGGAGGAACAUGGUGCUAUUCCUGGUGUUUUUGGUUAUGGAAAAGCUGGCGUUAGUCAGGAACUUUCUAAGGUGAUCACCUUAUUGCUCCGUUCUCAUCAUACCGUCUCUACACUAUCUACUGAGUUUAAAAAUCCAUGUUGUACUCUAAUUCUGAAGCUUUGGUUUAUGUUGGAUGUGGCUGAAAGAGGAAAUAAGAUAGCCAACGUUUAAUGGAUUUCCCCCAAUCGACAAUGACAUUUCCUCACAUGAUGUGAAGAGUGGAGCCGCUUAAAGUAAAUGGCGAGCUCACCAUGGUCGUACUACAGAUUGGGAGCCGCCGACCAUGACCCGAUGACCCGAUGACCCACUGGUGAGGCAUUCAAGGGACAAACAGGAGCUCACGAUUUUUAGGGAUGAGGAGGAGCUUGCAAUUUCCAGGCUCGGCCUGCCCGACCUGCCGCCGCAUGUGGAACACUAGGAGUCUGGUGUUUUCUCUGCAGUGAAGCACAAAUGUUCCCGGGUGCAACUCACGGGCUCUUUUGCUUUUACACACUUCAUUUUGUAAUUUUAGUGUUUGACUAAUAGUACAUCUGUUGGAACAAGUGCAAAGGCAACAUCAUCUUCCAGCAAAAAAAAUUCCCCUGCGUUGAGCACUUCAGAGAUGCACUAGGAGAGAGCAGGUUCUGGUGGACAAAGAGGUGAUAAGCGAUGAACUCUUCCAGUAUAAAAGUUGAUGGUCCUAAUUCCUUUAUAGUUUAUUUCUUGAUAACUUUAGGUUACAAAACAUCUCUGUGACUUUUCGUGUUUUGUGAUAAUAUAUUUGAUUAUAGUCACAGACUAUGCAAAAUGAUUAUUUAUGUUCCUAAUUUAUCUUCAUCUUUCAUAGUGGUAGGGAAACAUCACCUUUAGUUCGCAUGAGCUAGGACUUCACAAAAUUUGUCAAUAGCAUUGAUCAGGAUAUAAUUUUUCUUAUUACUUUCUAUUUUUAGACAAGAAAGAACCAUAGAGAAUCUCAAUCCUUAUACUGUAGCAGUACCUGCAGUAGAGCAAGCCGUUGUCACAAAUUUAACAGAAGAUGGAAAAGAAUGGUUGCUUUUGUUGCAGGUUACUCCAAGAAGUGUAUUGUUAAACUAGAUGUUGUAUAUUAUCCAUCCAUCAUCUGGAUGCUUGUGUGUCCUGCGACAAAUCCGAGCUUAAUCAGGAUAAUCUGAUUAGUGUAUCACAAGUCUGCUUUUUCUAACUGUACCAACUCUGUACUUAUUUUAGCGUUUUACAUAAUGUGUAGAUUUUUCAGAACAAAAAGAAGUGAAUCCAUAUAACCUAAUUUUGCUAUAUUAUUUAGUUCAAAAUGACUUUGUAAAUCCCAGUUUCUCCAGUAUUGCAACUCUGCGUCAAAUUGGCCAAUUAAACUGAUAUUUCUAUUUGGACAACUUUAAUUUGUAAUAUCAUGAUUUUCCUUUCUAGAAACCACUUCAACUAGGCUAGGGCUAUGUCUAUUAGUCCUCCUCCAGUAUUUGUUGAAAUGAGAUAACACAUGUUUCUUCAAGUGUCUACACACUACAUGUAGUAAGUUUCUUAUAGAAGUAGUGAAACCUGGAUACCAAUUUAUUGGAACAUUAUAUUUCUUAUAGAAGUAGUCAAACAAGGAUAUCAAUUUAUUGGAACCAUCAAGAGGACGGCACUCCUGGAUGGUAUAUGUUCUCCCUCUUAUGCCUAUUUGAAAUAGCUUGUAGGUCUGUACUUUGCCACUCAUAUGGUAGUACUCAACUGUUGCAAGGAUGAAUACUACACUUUUAUGAGCCACGGGCCACUAUUGUUUAUCAUAUGGAUUGUAGAUGUAGUGGUAACGUACCACCUUUUUUUUGCUAUUACCUAUAAGGCAGUGAAAAAAUAGAAUAAAAAGGUUCAUUAGAGAAAUAAUAGAAUUGGCAAUUGAAUAUCCAAUGGCUAUGAUUUUAUAUCUAUGUGGGAGAUUGAUGUAUGAUUACGUGCAAAGUAUACAAGUGAAAAACAUUAUUAUUUAUUUAGAUGAGCUAUUACCAGAAUUUUUUGUCACAGAUGGAGGGAUCCCAAAUCUUUAUUAUAAUUAUCAGAAACAUGACUCUAGGCCCUAAAGGAACAAGAAAAAUACAUAACAACUCCCUCGACUUUUAUAAAACAGAGCUCAAACUGAGAAAAAACAUGAUCGUGUCCUUGCGUCUUGUUGUUUCCAGGGACGAGCCACUUAGGACAACGAGGUUGCUGUGGCUAGGCCAUACAUAGCCCCGAAUAGAAGAAACACAAGGCCGCCUUACAACCCGAAGAGUCAUCGGAGACGAGGCCAAAUGUUGGGCACAAGCUGGGCCAAAUUUGCUUACCCUUCUGCAACGCAUAGGCCUUUUUGCUAGUUAAUGUUUAUAUAUGAAUUGCAAAAGCAUCCAUUGCCUGUAUUUCAAACCGCUCUCACUCUAUGGAUCGAUAAUAUGAAAUAAACACAUGCACAUGCUAGAAUUCAA